AACGAACGCUGGCGGCAUGCCUAACACAUGCAAGUCGAACGAGACCUUCGGGUCUAGUGGCGCACGGGUGCGUAACGCGUGGGAACCUGCCCUUAGGUUCGGAAUAACUCCCCGAAAGGGGUGCUAAUACCGGAUAAUGUCUUCGGACCAAAGAUUUAUCGCCUUUGGAUGAGCCCGCGUUGGAUUAGCUAGUUGGUAGGGUAAAAGCCUACCAAGGCGACGAUCCAUAGCUGGUCUGAGAGGAUGAUCAGCCACACUGGGACUGAGACACGGCCCAGACUCCUACGGGAGGCAGCAGUGGGGAAUAUUGGACAAUGGGCGAAAGCCUGAUCCAGCAAUGCCGCGUGAGUGAUGAAGGCCUUAGGGUUGUAAAGCUCCUUUACCCGGGAUGAUAAUGACAGUACCGGGAGAAUAAGCUCCGGCUAACUCCGUG
rnacentral:rRNA from 1 species